AGUGAACGCUGGCGGUAGGCCUAACACAUGCAAGUCGAACGGCAGCACCGUACUAGCUUGCUCUUCCGGGUGGCGAGUGGCGGACGUGUGAGGAAUACAUCGUACUCUACUUUUUCGUGGGGGAUAACGUAGGUAAACUUACUCUAAUACCGCAUACGCCCUACGGUUGAAAGCAUUGGAUCUUCUGACCUUGCGCGAUUGAAUGCGCCGAUGUCGGAUUAGCUAGUUGGCGGGGUAAAGGCCCACCAAGGCGACGAUCCGUAGCUGGUCUGAGAGGAUGAUCAGCCACACGGGAAGUGAGACACGGACCAGAGUCCUACGGGAGGGAGCAGUGGGGAAUAUUGGACAAUGGGCGCAAGCAUGAUCCAGCCAGAGCGCGUGGGUGAAGAAGGCCUUCGGGUUGUAAAGCCCUUUUGUUGGGAAAGAAAAGCAGCAGGUUAAUACCAAGCUGUUCUGACGGUACCCAAAGAAUAAGCACCGGCUAACUUCGUG
rnacentral:rRNA from 1 species